rnacentral:rRNA from 1 species
CACGUAGGGUGCGAGCGUUGUCCGGAAUUAUUGGGCGUAAAGAGCUCGUAGGCGGUGUGUCGCGUCGGCCGUGAAAACCUGCAGCUUAACUGUGGGCUUGCGGUCGAUACGGGCAUCACUGGAGUUCGGCAGGGGAGACUGGAAUUCCUGGUGUAGCGGUGAAAUGCGCAGAUAUCAGGGAGGAACACCGGUGGCGGAAGGCGGGGUCUCUGG